rnacentral:rRNA from 1 species
GACGAACGCUGGCGGCGUGCUUAACACAUGCAAGUCGAACGAGGAAAUUGACUUCGGUUGAUUUUCGAGUGGCGGACGGGUGAGUAACGCGUGAGCAAUCUGUCCUACAGAGGGGGAUAACAACUGGAAACAGUUGCUAAUACCGCAUAAGACCACGAGGCCGCAUGGCCAUGGGGUAAAAGGAGCAAUCCGCUGUAGGGUGAGCUCGCGUCCGAUUAGAUAGUUGGUGAGGUAACGGCCCACCAAGUCUGCGAUCGGUAGCCGACCUGAGAGGGUGACCGGCCACAUUGGGACUGAGACACAGCCCAGACUCCUACGGGAGGCAGCAGUGGGGAAUAUUGCACAAUGGGCGAAAAGCCUGAUGCAGCAACGCCGCGUGAAGGAUGAAGGCCUUCGGUCGGUAAACUUACUGUCCUUGGGAAGAAGAACUGACGGUACCCUUCGGAGGAAAGGCCCCCGGCCGUAACUACGUG